UACGUAGGGGGCGAGCGUCAUCCGGAUUCAUUGGGCGUAAAGCGCGCGUAGGCGGCCGCCUAAGCGGAACCUCUAACCCCGGGGCUCAACCUCGGGCCGGGUUCCGGACUGGGCGGCUCGAGUGCGGUAGAGGAGAGCGGAAUUCCCGGUGUAGCGGUGGAAUGCGCAGAUAUCGGGAAGAACACCGAUGGCGAAGGCAGCUCUCUGGGCCGUCACUGACGCUGAGGCGCGAAAGCUGGGGGAGCGAACAGG
rnacentral:rRNA from 1 species